rnacentral:rRNA from 1 species
AGGACGAACGCUGGCGGCGUGCUUAACACAUGCAAGUCGAACGGAAAGGCCCGCUUGCGGGUACUCGAGUGGCGAACGGGUGAGUAACACGUGGGCAACCUGCCCUCAGCUUCGGGAUAACACUUGGAAACAGGUGCUAAUACCGGAUAAUAACCUUUCAUCGCAUGGUGGUUGGUUCAAAGUUUUUCGGCUGAGGAUGGGCCCGCGGCCUAUCAGCUUGUUGGUGGGGUAAUGGCCUACCAAGGCGACGACGGGUAGCCGGCCUGAGAGGGCGACCGGCCACACUGGGACUGAGACACGGCCCAGACUCCUACGGGAGGCAGCAGUGGGGAAUAUUGCGCAAUGGGCGGAAGCCUGACGCAGCGACGCCGCGUGAGGGAUGACGGCCUUCGGGUUGUAAACCUCUUUCAGCUCUGAUGAAGCGCAAGUGACGGUAGGAGCAGAAGAAGCACCGGCCAACUACGUGCCAGCAGCCGCGGUAA